GACGAACGCUGGCGGCGUGCUUAACACAUGCAAGUCGAACGGAAAGGCCCUGCUUGCAGGGUACUCUAGUGGCGAACGGGUGAGUAACACGUGGGUGAUCUGCCCUGCACUUCGUGAUAAGCCUGGGAAACUGUGUCUAAUACCGGAUAGGAGCCAUUCUUAGUGUGAUGGUUGGAAAGUUUUUUCGGUGUAGGAUGAGCUCGCGGCCUAUCAGCUUGUUGGUGGGGUAAUGGCCUACCAAGGCGGCGACGGGUAGCCGGCCUGAGGGGGUGGACGGCCAAAAUGGGACUGGGAUACGGCCCAGACUCCUACGGGAGGCAGGAGUGGGGAAUAUUGCACAAUGGGCGGAAGCCUGAUGGAGCGACGCCGCGUGGGGGAUGACGGGCUUCGGGUUGGAAACUCCUUUCGCUAGGGAAGAAGCUUUUUGUGACGGUACCUAGAUAAGAAGCACCGGCUAACUACGUG
rnacentral:rRNA from 1 species